rnacentral:rRNA from 1 species
UUGAAAGGGAAACGAUUGAAGUCAGUCGUACCAGCGGGAAAUCAACCUUUCGAGUGGGGGUUUUGGAGCUUUUUGAAGAGUGUCAAAACCUUUGAGAUUUCAAAAUAUUCGCUCUUUUGGUGUACUUUCUCGUGGGUAGGUUAACAUCGAUUUUGAUCAUCAUAAAAAGAUUGGAGGAUGUAGCUUCGAUCUUGUAUUGAAGUGUUAUAGCCUUUGGUAAAUGUGAUGAUUAGGAUCGAGGAUUGCAACGAAUACCCUUUUGGGCUAUCCGCCUGAUCUCUGAUACGUGGCCUUGGUAUCGAAAGCGUGCUUAUGGUAUUGAGGUAUUACGGUCAAAAGGUUAGAACGGAUUACAUUCGUUAAGGAUGUUGACGUA